GAAGACCAGGAAGUUGAUCAAUCCCGAGGCUGCUGAGAGACGGUGGCGCGAUUGGGACAGUCGCCAGGGAUGGCUGAGCGUGAAGAUGCAGCGGGUGUCCGGGCUGCUCUCCUGGACGCUGAGCAGAGUCCUGUGGCUCUCCGGCCUCUCUGAGCCGGGAGCUGCCCGGCAGCCCCGGAUCAUGGAAGAGAAAGCGCUAGAAGUUUAUGGUUGGAAUGCAAUGGCGGGAUCUCGGCUCACUGCAACCUCUGCCUUCUGGUUUCAAGUGAUUCUCCUGCCUCAGUCUCCUAAGUAGCUGGGAUUACAGGCGCCCGGCACCACGCCUGGAUUUGAUUAGAACUAUCCGGGACCCAGAAAAGCCCAAUACUUUAGAAGAACUGGAAGUGGUCUCGGAAAGUUGUGUGGAAGUUCAGGAGAUAAAUGAAGAAGAAUAUCUGGUUAUUAUCAGGUUCACGCCAACAGUACCUCAUUGCUCUUUGGCGACUCUUAUUGGGCUGUGCUUAAGAGUAAAACUUCAGCGAUGUUUACCAUUUAAACAUAAGUUGGAAAUCUACAUUUCUGAAGGAACCCACUCAACAGAAGAAGACAUCAAUAAGCAGAUAAAUGACAAAGAGCGAGUGGCAGCUGCAAUGGAAA
rnacentral:lncRNA from 10 species